GCAUUUUAAUUCAGAGGUGGAUUCCAGUGGGUGGAGGAGGGCCAUUAUACACAAUUUUUUUUUCUUUCAGAUUUAUUGUCAGCAUUUUAAUUCAGAGGUGGAUUCCAGUGGGUGGAGGAGGGCCAUUAUACACAGAUUUUUUUCUUUCAGAUUUAUUGUCAGCAUUUUAAUUCAGAGUUGGAUUCCAGUGGGUGGAGGAGGGCCAUUAUACACAAUUUUU